GUGCUCAUUUUGGUAGCAUAUGUUACUAAAAUUGGAAUGACACAGACAAGAUUAGCAAGGCCCCUGAAGAGGGUGAUAUCCAAAUUUGUGAAGUGUUUCAUAUUUUA